UACGUAGGGGGCAAGCGUUGUCCGGAAUCAUUGGGCGUAAAGAGCGUGUAGGCGGCCCGAUAAGUCCGCUGUGAAAGUCCAGGGCUCAACCCUGGGAUGCCGGUGGAUACUGCUUGGCUAGAGUCCGGAAGAGGAGAGUGGAAUUCCUGGUGUAGCGGUGAAAUGCGCAGAUAUCAGGAAGAACACCUAUGGCGAAGGCAGCUCUCUGGGCCGAUACUGACGCUGAGGAGCGAAAGCGUGGGGAGCGAACAGG
rnacentral:rRNA from 1 species